AUAAUAAUAAUAAUAAUAAUACCAUCCCAUGAGAGAGAAGACAACUUUGUCGUUAACUUAACCUAACAGCAGCUGCUUUGGACUAAUGAAACAGGCUGUCCCCUGCGCCAACUGGAAUCAGUGGGACUCAUCCAUCUCUCCAUUACUCCUCCAUUAUAUACACAGUCCGCAAGCCCAUCUGUCCACAACAACCAACAUCUUAAUUCUUGCUAAUGACUGGCUGUAUUCGUUGUACAUAAAGCAAUUCCCGCAAGGAUACGUCUGGUACCCUAUACAAAACGAAAAACUGUCGGCAGGAAAAGAAGAGCGCUCCACCUCUAGAGUAUUUCUCAAAAUCAGAAGGGCAUUCAUAUGUUUACGCAUAUCCUUCUUUCUGAUGACCAAUCAAAUAAUGCAACUUUGCAUCUUUAUAUUAAAAAUAUAUGGAUCCAUUCAUUUCAUAAAUUAACACUUGAAAGCAAGUCCCAGAAAUACACCACCUAACUUAACAAGGUGAGAUUUAAAAAAAAUAAUAAUAAUAAUAAAUAACUGGGUUUAGAAACUUUUGUAUUGGCUUGGCUGGAGACAAACAAGAUUUACAACACUCAGUCAUUAGCUUCCAAGUAACAGUUACAAUACAUGAACAGCAGCAGAAAUCUCAAAGAUUUGAUUUCUUGCUACAUAUUUAUCAUCAUGUAAAAUCACAAGUCAUAGGUUAGUACCAUCAAAACCAAGAAAGCUGAAAGUUUCUUCCAAUCCAUCACGAAAAGUUAUCAAAGAAAUUUGAAAAAACAAAAAAUACAUGAUAGGUGAAUGCAUCUUCCCAAGCCAAAAUCAAAGCGGAAGCUUAUCUAAGGGCUUUAACGUAGCAACGCUACUGAGAUCAGGCCUCAUGUACUUCUCAUAUGUUACUUUCAAAUGUGAUGUCCUUGCAGCUUUUUGAAACCCUAAUAUCAUCUCUGCACAAUUCCUGAUUUGGGAGACUUCAUAGCGUGUGUGUUUAGCAAGAAGAGGAGUCCAAGCUGGAUCUACUUGCAAUGUACAUCGAGCAACAUAGAUGGCUGAUGCACAUAGCAUCGAAGGCUUAAACUUCAAAGCUUCAUAUUCAACCAAGCUCAGCUCAAUGAGGUAGAAUGACAGAUGUCCAAGUUGGGACUCCAGGUCAGUUUGAGCAGCCUUAAGAAACCUCAACAUGAAGACAUACGGGGUAGGCGUAUUUAGACGAAACUUCAAUUUCUUAAGAAUAAGCUUUUCCAUGGCAAGCAUUUCAUCUCUCGUGUAUGACUGAGCUGAGAUGCUAAGUAAAUCUUUGAUCCUAGGAUGCCAGAAGUCCUCAUAUUUUGAUGCCAACAACAAUGCUGUAAGACCCACCAAUUGCAUUUGAUUCUUUUUAAUUUGGACUUGUGACAGAUAUUGAUCUAACAAUAUGACCAUGAGAUACAGUGUUUCUUGCAUUAAUUCAAAUUUGAAGUGUACUUCAAUUAGCCAGUUGAUCAAUAUGCCCCGCAUUUGAGGUGUAAUUUCUGUCAGAAUUGACAUGUAAUUUGCCAAAGAUAAAUUUUGUGCCAUUGUGGUUCUCUGGUUUUGCUGCAACACACCAAUGCAUGACACUUCCUGCAGAAGCACAAAUAUUUUCCCAUUUUUUACUCAACCCAAUUAUGAAGUUUUUUUUUUCAAUAUAUACAUCAAAUUUGAUUGCAACCAAAAGGCUACAGACUCAAUUCUCUUCCAGUACACUUGAUAUAGCCUACUAACUGAAAACAGCCUUUUUACUAUGAAUUGGCUGUCAAACAAAUAUGCCCAGCAACAUUGACUAGGAAAGAAUGAAAUAUGUGAUGCCAAGUUAAACAUUCAGUUUCUUUAUGCCAUGUUAAUAGAACUAAUAUGGCCCAGCAAUUUUACCUGUUAAUGGCUAAAAUUCUCACAAGCUGGCCAUGCUUACUAUCAUUUCCAUUUAACUUAGUAGACAACAAAAAUUACUGAUAACUAUGAUGGCAUCCAUAGUUUCAUCAAAAACCAUGAAUGGGAUUAAACCAUUUUACUCAAAAGAUGCAUUACAGCACCCAGAGAAAUAAUAAAUGAAGACAUUGAAGCCCAAUCUAGCCAAUAAGGUAAAGCAUGAUCAGAAAGAAGUGUAGAACAAUGAACUUUAGUAAAUAAACAAUCACCUCUGAAACCCAAUAAAACUGAUAGAUGUCAUGAACAUAUUCAGCAACUUCAAGCUGAUUACAAUUAUCAUCUAUACAUGGCACUUUUUCUUGCUCGAUAACUUCUCCAUGUUCCACUAAUAACUUUGAUCUUGCCAUUAAUGAAGUUGUAUAAGAUCUACGACGAUCAGAUUUUCUCUGGACAAUGGCAUCUGGUUUGUUUGCAGUUGACUUGCUAAUACGUUCAAAGGAAGGUUCUUCAGUAGCUUCAUGGGAAACCACCACAGGAAUAUUGUCCAGAAGAGAAGAUGUCACAGAUUCAUCCUUUCUAUUAGGCAAGACUGCAGCAAUGGAUAUGGAUUUUUUCAUAGCUGAUGUACCCUUGGAUCUUAAAGUCCUAUGAGCAUUGGGCACACUGAUAGCAGCCUUUAUUGCGGGCUUGAUGAAUUUUCUGGACCCGCCAUGAGCCUUCACAUUAGUUUGAUCCGUUCUUAUGAAGCCAUCACUCACUUUGUUCUUCUGUAGAUGGCUCCUACAAAUGCUCACUUUUGGCACUACAUCCUUUCUUGCUUUCACCUUACCAGAAAAUCCACUAUUUCUCUUAGCUUUCCCCAAGCCUUCAUCAUUGUUCUUUAUUUUACUUGUAUCUGUCUGGUUCACUGUCAUUAACACCGGUAGAGACUUCCUCAUUGACAUAAGUGAGUUCCUUGCACUCCUGCUGUUAUUAACAAUAACAACAGAUUCACAGCCAGGGUUCUUCGUGUUCGUCCUCUGAUCAUCUGACAAGGCACUUAAAUCUUUAACACCUUCCCUUGUAGCAUGAAAGUUGGUGACUCUUUGUCCUAUAUUCAUUCUUCCCAUUGAACAUUUUCUUGAUGACAUAUUCACAGUCCUUGAUCUUGAACACCCUGUAAUCAUUGUUUUGGAGCCAUCACAUGUAACAUUCCUAGAGAAGCUGCUCUGGACAUUACUCACAUCAGCUAGUGCUUUUCUUCUGACAUUGAAAUCUUGAUUUACAGAACUAACAGACUUGCCUUUGAUAUUCUUUGCAAAUUUUGAACCCCCCUUUGAAUCAUUUGUUGCAUUUGAAAGAGCUCCUUUGUUAACUGGUACAGAUGUUCUUGCAGGCGCAAUGCUCUCUCUAAUAGAUAUGCCACCGACAUCAACCUUGGCCUUUUCGUUAUCUGUAUAAACUUUAAAAUUGCUAACAACUUUAUCAGUCCUAUGACAGCGGGAAUCUUCAGUAGCACGAUUGAUGCCCAUUUGAACUUUCCCCUUGGCAGCCACCAUUUUUUUGCUUACUGGUGUGUCUUUUUUACUUCGCAGCUGAUUGCAUUAUUAGAAAAACUUUGCUCAGUCGAAUUGCUUUACCAAAAAUCAAAGAAAACCAAAAAUUUCAGAAUUAAAAUAUCUGCAUAUAGCAGCCGCGGAAGAGUAUUAUGUAACAUACGAAUUUAAAACAUAUGUGAAUUUUUGUUCUUUCUCCAAGGCCGGUUGAUUAAAUUGAUGAAGAACGCAACUCCUAUUUGAGGGGGGAAAAAAGCUAAAUACAGAAAGAACCACAAGUAGGGCACUUAAGAAAAAAAGGGGCAAAAAAAUUCCAAAAACCCUAAAUCUACCAUAAAGAAGUUAAUUCUUCCAUUCUUGAAGCAAAAAGUAGCAGAUUCAGAAUCAAAUUCAGUGAAGCCACAUGUAUACAUUGAAUAGGGUUACAGAAAUUGAAUUGAAUAACGAGUUAAAUAACAAAAUUGAUACCUUAACUGAUGAGGUGUUCCAAGAAAUUGAGUUUUUUCUUGAGCGAUCUUGAGAGAGAACAAGUGUCUCCUUUUUCACACCCAAAGCCCAUGUUUUUGUGUUACACUGCCCGCCUCUUAUGUCUUCUUUUCAAAAUUGUUGUGUCUUUACGUUUAUACCCCUCGAUCACUCCGUUUUGACUUCCUUGACAUUGGGAAGUCCAAAGUGUUCCGACCAAUUUUUUUUAGCUAUUUUUUAAGAGAACGUUUUGUAUAGGCACACGCACGGAAAAAUAUU
rnacentral:misc_RNA from 1 species